rnacentral:rRNA from 1 species
AUUGAACGCUGGCGGCAGGCCUAACACAUGCAAGUCGAACGGUAACAGGAAGCAGCUUGCUGCUUUGCUGACGAGUGGCGGACGGGUGAGUAAUGUCUGGGAAACUGCCCGAUGGAGGGGGAUAACUACUGGAAACGGUAGCUAAUACCGCAUAACGUCGCAAGACCAAAGAGGGGGACCUUAGGGCCUCUUGCCAUCGGAUGUGCCCAGAUGGGAUUAGCUAGUAGGUGGGGUAACGGCUCACCUAGGCGACGAUCCCUAGCUGGUCUGAGAGGAUGACCAGCCACACUGGAACUGAGACACGGUCCAGACUCCUACGGGAGGCAGCAGUGGGGAAUAUUGCACAAUGGGCGCAAGCCUGAAGCAGCCAUGCCGCGUGUAUGAAGAAGGCCUUCGGGUUGUAAAGUACUUUCAGCGGGGAGGAAGGGAGUAAAGUUAAUACCUUUGCUCAUUGACGUUACCCGCAGAAGAAGCACCGGCUAACUCCGUG